rnacentral:misc_RNA from 1 species
ACAGAAAAAGACAAAAUUUGUGAAAAAGAUAUAUGAGCAGAUUAAGUUGCAGAUUGAGCAAAAAAAUAAGAAGUAUGAUGUGCAGGCUAACAAAGGCAGGAAGAAAGUUGUGUUUCAGCUUGGAAAUCUAGUGUGGGUUCAUUUAAGAAAUGAGAGAUUUCCUUUUAAGAAUAAGCCUAAAUUACAACCCAAAUGUGAUGGUCCAUUUAAAGUACUGGCUAGAAUCAACAACAAUGUAUAUAACAUAGAUUUUCGUCUCCUUACAUUGAUGUGGGUCCAGAUUCGAGGGCAAAUCCUUUUAAGGAGAAGGGGAAUGAUGGAGAUCCAUCAAC